UUUAAAAAAAAAAAAAGAAAGAAAGAAAAGAAAAAGAAAAGACAAGAAAAGAAAAGAAAAGGAUAUAAUCAGCCAAAUUCAAAAUGUGUGAAAUGCUACAAGCUUCCAGGACUGUGAAACAAGACAUUUCUUUGGUUCAAGCCACUCCCUUAGUGCACAUUGUUAUGGCAGCCAUGGAAAACCAUCCACAGAGGGUCAGUUCCUAUGGAGGUGGGGUGAGUGACGAGAUGUUCCUGACUGGGCUGACAACGGAGGACGAGAGAGCUUGGGUGUGGAUGGGAAAAUAACUAGAAACUUCCCUUGAUCUCUCAGCAUUCUGUUCCAUCCCUGUCACUUCGAUGUCUCUCUUUCUUGAAUAUGGAAGCAGCCCUGGGCCCAGCUGCUGCAGGUGGCCAGGAAGGAGCCUGGGAGGAUGACGGGGUUCCUGAUCUGAUAGAACUGGGCUGUGACUAGGCAGAACCCUGUUCCACCACACACACCCCAGUGGAGGUCAGUACCCCAAAUCUGACACCAGGAUGUAGCAUGUCCAUGGAGUCUGUCUGCUGACACCUGUCCCACCCUCCCCUGGCCCGUAACUUUGAGAGAUACUGCAAUUCCUACCGAUGUUGCUGCCAUCCUUUAUUCAGCCCAUUAUCAGAAGUUAUGACACAUUGCAAAAUGCUCAGGCUAGUUGAAUUUCUGCAACAGGGCAAGGCGGUUAAAUCCUGUCCUUCCUGGAGUCUCAUUGACCAGGCUUUGAAUCCCAAUUCUACCAUGGAUUAGAUUUGCAACUUUGGCAAAUUGAUGAACUCUUCUGAGCUUUGGACUAAUAAUAGGGUUUUGUGAGGAAUACCUGAGAUAAUGCAUGUACAACACCUUGCAUGUUGUUUAGCACCUACUAGAAAUGCAACCAACUCUAGCUGUUAUCGCUAGUUUUUCUCUUGCUCCAUCUCCAUUCCUGAGAUGUGCAUGGCUACUCUGUGUUUGUUGUUGGGAAGAGCCGUAGACAGUCGUAUCCUCUUCCUGAGAAUGGUAACUGAGCUGCCCCCUUGGGACUGUCCAGGGGCUGGCCAUUAGCCCCACGAGGCAGCAACAAAACCAACAAGACAAGUCUGUUUACUCUUCUGGUCUAUAAUUUAAAAUGUGUUUGAUGCUACUUUUUUUUUUUCUUUUUAGGACGUUCUGUAUCUGUGAUGAAUGACCCCUGCAUACAUUAUAUCUUUCAGUAAAAACAGUGGUGUUUCAGUAGUGUUACUAGCUAAGCUGCUUAACUCUCACAUUACAGACGUCAGUGAAGCCCCUUGGUAGGUAGUGUCUAAAAUUAGAUUUAUCUGCUUAUUUACACAAUUAUACUCUCAUGAGUUUGAAUGUUGGGGAAAGAUCAAGAAAAAGACCAGAUCACUAGAUGGCAAUAGCACACAAGAGCUUUAUUUGGAUGAAGCUUGGACAGAAUGCAUGGAAGGGGAAAGUCCCUUGCAGCAGAAGACCUUCCAGAGGCAGUGGCAGGGCCACCACCAGAAGAAAAGGGCAAGGACACUCCCAGGGGAGAGGAGGAUCAGAGAGGAGGUUACAGGUCUAAGAGAUGUCACAGGUCUAGAAGAAAAGAAAAGGAGCCAGGUGCAGUGGCUCACACCUGUAAUCCCAGCACUUUGGGAGGCCCAGGCGGGCAGAUUGCUGAGUUCAGGAGUUUGAGACCAGCCUAGGCAAACAUGGUGAAACCCCAUCUCUAAAAAAAGAUUUAAAAAUUAACCAGGCCUGGUGGCAUGUACCUGAAGUCUCAUUUACUUGGGGGGCUAAGGCUGGAGGAUCGUUUGAACCCAAGAGGGUUCAUGGUGGGGAGCAUCAUGGUGAGGAGUCUCUGGGUCAGAGAGCUCCAAAGGACAGCAGCCAUUUGGGGUCUUUUGUAGCCCUGAGGUUCGUCUUACCUAUGGUGAGAGGGUGUCGGGUGUAGUUUUGCAAAUUAUCGAAGCAGGCAGGCUCUAAAUGGGCAAAUAAUAUUUGGCCUACAUUUAAAGCAAUUGGAUGUGCAAGAAUUUGAGUUUGGUGCUGGCAGGCUUGAGUUAACGGUCCUGGGCUGUGGUGUGGAAGUAAACAGCAUGGGGGCCAAUACACAGGGGCUGUCUUGAACUCGUUCAUACAAUCCAUUUAUAACCUGUUUAUAACUUGUUUAUAACCCAUUUAUACCACAUACCCCUAAAGCAAAUACCUAGCAGAUAGCAUGCAGGGCCUAUUUGCCUGGCCUCCUUCAAUGGCAUCACAUUCUCCACCACCACGAUGGUUAAUAUGGACGAGCCCUAGCAGCUGCCCAGUGAAGUCCACACGCUACUGCCCAAACCAGCUCAAGUCCUUAGUUGUCAUGAAAAUAAUGUGAGUUCCCACAGCCGUAAAAGGGAAAGCAGCAAGAGCCACAUGAGCAUCCCCGGAACCCUGGGAACAGUCAUCAGUGUCAUCUUCAGGGUCAUGUCCCUACAAGCAGUUCUCAGGCUCCUGCUGAGGGUCAGAACAGAGCCGAAGUCACAGGAUAUCAAAAAUGGAUAAGCCCAACCUCAGCUCGCAGAGGAAUUGCUCAGCUGACAGAUGAUUGUGUUAUCUCAGUGAAGCCAGAUGACAAUGUACUUGGCCAACGGAACAUCUUGGUCAAUGGAUCUCCAAGUUGGUUAUAAAAUUAAAGCAAAAUAAUGCCAUUAUAUGUAAGAUGUCAUUGAUUGUAAGAUGCUCCUUUAUUUGAUGUACCACUAAUAAAUAAAAACACUGACAUUUAAACAAUGA